UACAACGGAGACAGGCCGGGUGCCCUUCGGGGCGUAACGGGGAACCGGGUGAGAAUCCCGGGCGGUCCCGCCACUGUAACCGGAGAGUGCGUUUUCAAGAUGCCACUCGCCCAUCGCGGGGAAGGCGAAAGCGCGCGAAGACCCGGAAGCCAGGAGACCUACCCGGUCGAACUCCCGAGG
rnacentral:ncRNA from 2 species